UGGAUCUGAUUUAACUUAGUGGCGAACGGGUGAGUAACGCGUGAGCAACCUGCCUUUCAGUGGGGGACAACAGUUGGAAACGACUGCUAAUACCGCAUAAUGCAUUUUGACCGCAUGAUCGAGAUGCCAAAGAUUUAUUGCUGAAAGAUGGGCUCGCGUCUGAUUAGAUAGUUGGUGAGGUAACGGCCCACCAAGUCGACGAUCAGUAGCCGGACUGAGAGGUUGAACGGCCACAUUGGGACUGAGAUACGGCCCAGACUCC
rnacentral:rRNA from 1 species